rnacentral:rRNA from 1 species
AGAGUUCGAUCCUGGCUCAGGAUGAACGCUGGCGGCGCGCCUAACACAUGCAAGUCGAACGAGCGAGAGAGAGCUUGCUUUCUCGAGCGAGUGGCGAACGGGUGAGUAACGCGUGAGGAACCUGCCUCAAAGAGGGGGACAACAGUUGGAAACGACUGCUAAUACCGCAUAAGCCCACGGGUCGGCAUCGACCAGAGGGAAAAGGAGCAAUCCGCUUUGAGAUGGCCUCGCGUCCGAUUAGCUAGUUGGUGAGGUAACGGCCCACCAAGGCGACGAUCCAUAGCCGGCCUGAGAGGGUGAACGGCCACAUUGGGACUGAGACACGGCCCAGACUCCUACGGGAGGCAGCAGUGGGGAAUAUUGCACAAUGGGGGAAACCCUGAUGCAGCGACGCCGCGUGGAGGAAGAAGGUCUUCGGAUUGUAAACUCCUGUUGUUGAGGAAGAUAAUGACGGUACUCAACAAGGAAGUGACGGCUAACUACGUGCCAGCAGCCGCGGUAAAACGUAGGUCACAAGCGUUGUCCGGAAUUACUGGGUGUAAAGGGAGCGCAGGCGGGAAGACAAGUUGGAAGUGAAAUCCAUGGGCUCAACCCAUGAACUGCUUUCAAAACUGUUUUUCUUGAGUAGUGCAGAGGUAGGCGGAAUUCCCGGUGUAGCGGUGGAAUGCGUAGAUAUCGGGAGGAACACCAGUGGCGAAGGCGGCCUACUGGGCACCAACUGACGCUGAGGCUCGAAAGUGUGGGUAGCAAACAGGAUUAGAUACCCUGGUAGUCCACACCGUAAACGAUGAUUACUAGGUGUUGGAGGAUUGACCCCUUCAGUGCCGCAGUUAACACAAUAAGUAAUCCACCUGGGGAGUACGACCGCAAGGUUGAAACUCAAAGGAAUUGACGGGGGCCCGCACAAGCAGUGGAGUAUGUGGUUUAAUUCGAAGCAACGCGAAGAACCU